rnacentral:tRNA from 2 species
GGGUUCAAGUCCCUCUAUCCCC